CACGUAGGGCGCAAGCGUUGUCCGGAAUUAUUGGGCGUAAAGAGCUCGUAGGCGGUCUGUUGCGUCCGCUGUGAAAACUCGGGGCUUAACCCCGAGCCUGCAGUGGAUACGGGCAGACUAGAGGUAGGUAGGGGAGAAUGGAAUUCCCGGUGUAGCGGUGAAAUGCGCAGAUAUCGGGAGGAACACCGGUGGCGAAGGCGGUUCUCUGGGCCUUACCUGACGCUGAGACGCGAAAGCGUGGGAGCGAACAGG
rnacentral:rRNA from 1 species